rnacentral:rRNA from 1 species
AUUGAACGCUGGCGGCAGGCCUAACACAUGCAAGUCGAACGCGUGGCGGACGGGUGAGUAAUGUCUGGGAAACUGCCUGAUGGAGGGGGAUAACUACUGGAAACGGUAGCUAAUACCGCAUAACAUCCGCAGUGACACAAUGGGCUUGGCUUGUUGGUGGGGUAACGGCUCACCAAGGCGACGAUCCCUAGCUGGUCUGAGAGGAUGACGAGCCACACUGGAACUGGGACACGGUCCAGACUCCUACGUGAGUCAGCAGUGGGGAAUAUUGCACAAUGGGCGAAAGCCUGAUGCAGCCAGGCCGCGUGUAUGAAGAAGGCCUUCGGGUUGUAAAGUACUUUCAGCGGGGAGGCGUUACCCGCAGAAGAAGCACCGGCUAACUCCGUGCCAGCAGCCGCGGUAAUUC